GAUGAACGCUGGCGGCGUGCCUAAUACAUGCAAGUCGAGCGAACGGACGAGAAGCUUGCUUCUCUGAUGUUAGCGGCGGACGGGUGAGUAACACGUGGAUAACCUACCUAUAAGACUGGGAUAACUUCGGGAAACCGGAGCUAAUACCGGAUAAUAUUUUGAACCGCAUGGUUCAAAAGUGAAAGACGGUCUUGCUGUCACUUAUAGAUGGAUCCGCGCUGCAUUAGCUAGUUGGUAAGGUAACGGCUUACCAAGGCAACGAUGCAUAGCCGACCUGAGAGGGUGAUCGGCCACACUGGAACUGAGACACGGUCCAGACUACUACGGGAGGCAGCAGUAGGGAAACUUCCGCAAUGGGCGAAAGCCUGACGGAGCAACGCCGCGUGAGUGAUGAAGGUCUUCGGAGCGUAAAACUCUGUGAUUAGGGAAGAACAUAUGUGUAAGUAACUGUGCACAUCUUGACGGUACCUAAUCAGAAAGCCACGGCUAACUACGUG
rnacentral:rRNA from 1 species